UACGUAGGGUGCAAGCGUUGUCCGGAAUUAUUGGGCGUAAAGAGCUCGUAGGCGGUCUGUCGCGUCGGCUGUGAAAUCCCGGGGCUCAACCCCGGGCCUGCAGUCGAUACGGGCAGACUAGAGUGCGGUAGGGGAGACUGGAAUUCCUGGUGUAGCGGUGAAAUGCGCAGAUAUCAGGAGGAACACCGGUGGCGAAGGCGGGUCUCUGGGCCGUUACUGACGCUGAGACGCGAAAGCGUGGGGAGCAAACAGG
rnacentral:rRNA from 1 species